GGGUGAAGAAAUGUGAUGAGGAAGUUGUUAGAUAAUGUAUUUGGAUUUAAUAUCAUUUAACAAAAUGUAACAUAUGAUCAAAUCCUUUUGAAAAGGACCUAAAAUUACAACUACAAGAUAAGCCGAAUCGAUGGGGAAAGUUAGGUCAUUUGAACGAUUCAACACCAAAAUCAUACGUUCCCGCUCUUUUCUGUCUUCUAGCCACAGUUUACACAAUACCGACGAAUGUGCAGCAUGCCAGAACGAACCAACACACGUAAAGAAAGUGAGUCGUGGAAAACCGGUUCCAGGUGGAUGAUUCCAUCCCCCAAGAACUCGACCACCUGACCCCACCGGGAACACUGAGCGCGCGUAUGUGUGUGUAGUCGUGGUGGUUUGAAGAAGCUCACGCACCGAUGAUGAUGAUGAUGAUCAUGAUGGCGAUCGUACCGGAAUGGGGGUGAGCAAAAGCAAAGAACCCGUUACGCGCUGACGUUGCGUGGCUGCGGCGAAUGAAUCAACCCGAAUCGAUGGCCACACUUUCUGUAGCUUCACACCGAAACACACUCGCACACUGACCUUCAGGCUUUUGGUCCUCCUGCUGCUUUUUGGCAAACACACUGCACAACGAUGGUAUCAGCAACACCAGACAGCACUGGAGCAAGAUGACGGUACUGCAACACUUUUUGGCCAUUUUUGUAUGCAGAGUGAAAAUCUUCAGUGAAACGUUUAUUAAGCCAGUGAAACGAUCGGUUAAUGCUGAUUUAUUGAUUUUUCGAAGUUUUAAAUCACGAAUUAAAAUUCCAUACUGUGAAUAUUGAAAUGAGAAUGAUGUUUGGAAAACAAAAUGCAAUGCUUUAUUUGAAAACACAGAAAUUUCACCUUACAGCCCGUGUGGUAUGCAAUCCGCGGAACAAACGCCCAAAAGGUAUGCAAUACGCACUGCACAACCGAACUGAACUACGCUGUCAACAGCUGGUGUCCCGUGGAAGCGCCACUGUGCUCGGCUUAGAAAAAAAAACAAUCGCUUCCGUCCAAAAACCGGGUUGCUUUUCGGCCGUUGCUAACCGGCGCACAUGCACCGCGGCGAGAGGCGGCAGCAUUUUGCGCCCGAUCGUCCCUUUGUUUUUAGAUCAUUUGCCAUCCCGCUCACACUUUGCAGCAUUGAACAGCGCGGAAAAUGGGAAGAUGGGAAGAAAACACACUCUGAUUCAAAUUUUCCCGUACCGGUCGGACCCGGCGAAACCUGCAAUUUCGGCUUGUUCUCAAGCAAAAGUACCAGGAGAGCAUGCAGCCGUGCAGCCAGCAGCGUGACCGGUCAACUCCGCACUGGCUGCGUACGUAUGGGAAAUUCAAAUUUUUGCACGUUGAACAGUGGGCUGGUGCGCCGCAGAGGAACAAUUUCGGAUUUUCUUUUUUGUUUAAAUUAACGCAAUACGAAACGCGAGCGGUUUUCAUAUCAUUCCAUGCGCCUUGUCGCUUCGGUAAGAAUUUAUUUGUUUAUAUCAUAUAUAUCUUUGUUUUUUUGUUGCGCACUUCGCAUUCGCGCACAUUACAACGUGGUGUGUUUGUUUUUUGUUUGUUUGUUGCUUGCUUCAUGUCCUCCAAAACCUAAUUCUUUCUUCCUCCCUUGUUCCCACCCCUCUUAACCACUAACAAAAUGCUUCGAUUCACUGUACAAAUGGCCUGCCGGUUUCUUUUUCUCUCUACCAUCUUCUUCUUUCCUUCUCUACCUGAAAAGUAAUGCUUCCUUACAAAUCUAAAACGCUAUACGGUAUUUCUUUAUUUGUUUGUAUCAAUCCUACUACUUUUAAUCACUUGUGUGUUGCGCUUAUUCUUUUAUUAGGAGUCACGCUACAUACAAAUUGUGGGGGGGAUGCGCUGCUUUUUUUCGUUUCUCCUUAUCGUUCCUUUAGCGUGGAGUAUAUUUAUGUAUCAUAAUAUACUUUUCUUCCUGUUUGUUUUUGGUUUAAUUUAUGUUGUUUUAUCGCAAUUUGUUGCUGCUCUGCUGCUCGUUGCCCCCUAAUAUGCGCACUCUUGCUUUCGUUCAGUGUGGUGGGGCUCUCAUUUAAAAUGCUCCGGUUUUUGUAGUAAAAUAUUGGGUGUUUUCACACCAAAAACAAAAUAAUAAAACAAAAAUCGUAACAUGAACGUUUCUGAACAAAGAAAUGAACUAAAAGCACUGCCAAUGCACACCACCCACUGUAAACCGCAUCAUGGGUUUUGGGUGUGUGUGUGUGUGUGCGGUUAGCCGUUUACCUUUCCCCUUUCCAAAAGUUGAUUGAAUUUUCUCCCUUUUUCCCAACCACUUCCCUUACACGUCGAGCAGAUGAUAAAGCUUUCCUCCCAUCCCGUCAUCCAGAAGGGGAUUGCGCGAACGAAGAGGAUCGAAAAUUUAUGGCGAAAAUUAGCGAAUCACACCGUUUUCCCUUACGCACAAACCAACAGAAGCAAAUGAAUCCUUUCCUUGUCCUUCCCCAUAUGGUGUGUGUGUGGUUCGUUCCCUUUUCGACCCUCCCUCUCCCCACCAGAGAGCAUAACGCACUCAAUAAAUUGUUCUAAUUUCCUUGUGCGGCCGCCCUGUCCACCACCAUCCAUCCAUCAACCCUCCCCUUCUGGGUUCAUUUCAUUGUGCGCUGAACGAGUGGGGGGGGAGGGUUGUGUUUUUAAUGCCCUCGCGGUGCCCUUAUUAAGGAACGAUAUCCCUUCGAAGCAGGGGGAAGAGAGAGAGAGAGAGAGAAAGAGAGAGGACGAUGGGGAUAGAAAACAGCGCGAACGAAGGGCUCCACGGAGAGCUCGAACCCGCAAAAGCAUAACUAAAUUAACCUCAUUCACCACAAAAGCUUAAAAUGCGCACAGUACAGUUCGAUGAGAAGGGGAUGGAUCUCUCUCUCUCUCUCUUUCUCUCUCUCUCAUUCUCUUUUUGUCUCUGCACUACGAGAAAAAGGUUUGUGCAGUGGUUUCGACGGGAUUUUGAUGGAAAGGCGGCCCGAAUGCCCCAAAGCCUACUGAAGCUUCGCGUUUUCUGUGUUGUGUGGUGUUUUGUGUGCUGCUUCCCAUAUUACCUUUUACCUUACUGAAAAGUCACUGAGCGAGCGAGCGCGGUGGGAGAAUUUGUAAUCAACCUUGCAAAAAAGAAGGAAGGGAGGGGGGGGGGGGGUGGAAACAGGACCGCAGCAGCAAUCGAAAUGGUUGGGGGCCCCGCUAACGAAAUUAAUGUUCACACAAACAACACUUCUUCCUCACAAUCUCUUUACACCUUCUGCUGCUGCUGCUGCUGCUGCUGCUGCUGGGGAAAACUGCCACCGUCUCUCUCUCUCUCUCUCUCUCUCUCUCUCUUUCUCUCUGAGUCUUGUUGUUUCACUUAUUUACUAUUGUGCAACUGACUGGCCCUAAGGGAGUAUUUUGUGUGUAUGUUAUUGUGUUUUUGUUUACUAUUACUUGUGUUUCUUUCAUUCUCUCUCUCUUUCUCUCUCUCUCUUUCCUAUUUCUUAUUUUAUUUCGUGAUAUGAUUGAUUUUGUUGUAUUGUUGCAUUGUUGUGGCAUUUUUGUUGAUUCUGUUUCUUCACUACUGUAUGUGUGUCUCGCUCUCUCUCUCUCUCUCUGUCUCUCUAUUGCACUGUGUGGAUGUGUAUGUUACGCUUAAAAGCAAAAUGGUAUAAGGAUGUGAGGUGAUUUACACAGCUUUCUAUUGCAGCAAAUUGGAGUCGGGAAUGAUGUUUAUUGUGUCUUUACGUUAUAAAAUUAUAACAACCACCUGGAAUUUCCUGAAUUAAAAAUAAAUGAAACAAAAGUGUCUAUUGCGCGUGAUAAAUGGAGAGCCUAAGCAAUGUGAGAAUAUUAUAGAGUAAAUAAACCUUUAAACCCUUUGCUACCUAAAGCGAGUUGGGGUUUAGUAGUGGGGUUCAGUGUAGAGCUUUGUAAGCUCUGUUUUGAGAAAACAAUUCAAUCUUCUAUUCGCGCAAAGCAACGCGCAUUUGCGCGCCCGCGUAACAAAUGUCGUCCGUUUUUGCGUAUAAAAAUCUUUGGUGGUACGCUGCGCUUACACUUUCACGAUAUCUCCGGCACGGAUUACAUACAAGCGGCCCAGUAUUGUUUUGCAGACACGCAGAUCACUUAAUUGUAUUCUGAGGGCUAGUAAUAGUAAAAACGUAAAAACUCAUACAAAAUAA